UACGUAGGUGGCAAGCGUUGUCCGGAAUUAUUGGGCGUAAAGCGCGUGUAGGCUGUCGUGCAAGUCGGGUGUGAAAGCCCCCGGCUCAACCGGGGAGGGUCAUUGGAAACUGGCAGACUUGAGUGCAGAAGAGGAGAGUGGAAUUCCAUGUGUAGCGGUGAAAUGCGCAGAGAUAUGGAGGAACACCAGUGGCGAAGGCGGCUCUCUGGUCUGUAACUGACGCUGAGGUGCGAAAGCGUGGGGAUCAAACAGG
rnacentral:misc_RNA from 1 species